GGACUUGGAAGCCCCUGAGGGCUUUAACCUAUGGAAGCUAGCUAAAACUAAAAACUGUGUUGUGAAUGAUUCUGUUGGAGUAGUAUGCCCCAAAUUCUCCAUUCUACGGGUAUGGAAACUCAUUGAUUCAAUCUCGCUGCUUGCUACACCUACACUUCACAUACUAGCGUUUGAGUUGUUUCCAGUGCACUCCUCCAGCCAUUUUUGAAUUAAUACACUUCUGCUGUCAAACAUAAU
rnacentral:misc_RNA from 1 species